AAGUUCCGGCGCCUUAAGAUGAGCCUGCGGCUGAUUAGCUAGUUGGUGGGGUAAAUGCCUACCAAGGCGACGAUCAGUAGCUGGUCUGAGAGGAUGACCAGCCACAAUGGGACUGAGACACGGCCCAUACUCCUACGGGAGGCAGCAGUAGGGAAUAUUGCGCAAUGGGCGAAAGCCUGACGCAGCAACACCGCGUGAGGGAUGAAGCUUCUUGGAGUGUAAACCUCUGUCAGUGGGGACGAAUUUUGACUGUACCCACAGAGGAAGCAUCGGCUAACUACGUGCCAGCAGCCGCGGUAAGACGUAGGAUGCAAGCGUUGUCCGGAUUUAUUGGGCGUAAAGAGUUCGUAGGUGGUUUAUCAAGUCUGGUGUUAAAGCCCGAGGCUCAACCUCGGUUCGGCACUGGAUACUGGUAGACUAGAGUACAGGAGAGGCAAGGGGAAUUCCCAGUGUAGCGGUGAAAUGCGUAGAUAUUGGGAGGAACACCGGUGGCGUAAGCGCCUUGCUGGACUGUUACUGACGCUGAGGAACGAAAGCCAGGGGAGCAAAUGGGAUUAGAUACCCCAGUAGUCCUGGCCGUAAACGAUGGAUACUAGGUGUUAUGGGUAUCGACCCCCGUAGUGCCGUAGCUAACGCGUUAAGUAUCCCGCCUGGGGAGUACGCACGCAGUGUGAAACUCAAAGGAAUUGACGGGGGCCCGCACAAGCGGUGGAACAUGUGGUUUAAUUCGAAGCAACGCGAAGAACCUUACCAGGACUUGACAUCCAAGGAAUCCUGCGGAAACGUGGGAGUGCCUUUCGGGGAACCUUGAGACAGGUGGUGCAUGGUUGUCGUCAGCUCGUGUCGUGAGAUGUUGGGUUAAGUCCCGCAACGAGCGCAACCCUCGUUGUUNNGUUGCUGACAAAAGCAUGCUUUUGUCGAGCUCUCUAGCGAGACUGCCGGUGAUAAACCGGAGGAAGGUGGGGAUGACGUCAAAUCAUCAUGCCCCUUAUGUUCUGGGCUACACACGUGUUACAAUGGGUAGGACAACGAGCAGCCAGCUGGCA
rnacentral:rRNA from 1 species